UACGUAGGCAGCAAGCGUUGUUCGGAAUUACUGGGCGUAAAGAGUGUGUAGGCGGUGCUCCAAGUCUGGUGUGAAAUCUCCCGGCUUAACUGGGAGGGUGCAUUAGAAACUGGAAUGCUAGAGGAUGGGAGAGGUAAGCGGAAUUCCUGGUGUAGCGGUGAAAUGCGUAGAUAUCAGGAGGAACACCUGUGGUGUAGACAGCUUACUGGACCAUUUCUGACGCUGAGAUGCGAAAGCGUGGGGAGCAAACAGG
rnacentral:rRNA from 1 species